GAUGAACGCUGGCGGCGUGCCUAAUACAUGCAAGUCGAGCGAACAGACGAGGAGCUUGCUCCUUUGACGUUAGCGGCGGACGGGUGAGUAACACGUGGGUAACCUACCUAUAAGACUGGGAUAACUUCGGGAAACCGGAGCUAAUACCGGAUAAUAUUUCGAACCGCAUGGUUCGAUAGUGAAAGAUGGCUUUGCUAUCACUUAUAGAUGUACCUGGGCCGUAUUAGCUAGUUGGUAAGGUAACGGCUUACCAAGGCAACGAUACGUAGCCGACCUGAGAGGGUGAUCGGCCACACUGGAACUGAGACACGGUCCAGACUCCUACGGGAGGCAGCAGUAGGGAAUCUUGCGCAAUGGGCGAAAGCCUGACGGAGCAACGCCGCGUGAGUGAUGAAGGUCUUCGGAUCGUAAAACUCUGUUAUUAGGGAAGAACAAACGUGUAAGUAACUGUGCACGUCUUGACGGUACCUAAUCAGAAAGCCACGGCUAACUACGUG
rnacentral:rRNA from 1 species